CGAGGUGCGUGUACGCGGUUUCCCGUUUACUUGUUCCUUAUGACGUGCUUUCUUCCUCUUCUUUUUAGAAUCCAUAUUAACGCGGUCAACGCGCAAGCACCAGCAAUCGUGCGCCUGGUCGCGAAUUUACUAAGUGCAGGCGCCAUUCUGUCUAAUCGGAGAAACUUCCACUACAAAUUCACCGUCUUCCACGACGGUCGAAACUCUUCUGCGUCCAGUUUUGAACCUCGUUAAGGUGAACAGGUGGUGGGGUAAUACUCAGCAGUGAAUCAGCUAUGCGGCAACGAAAUGACGUUCCUCAAACAUUUCGCUGCGAACCAGUCCCGGUUUCCGUGCUUUCACCUACUCUAACCUGAUCUUCGAAUUGUCUUAUAUCGUCUGCGCUCUAUGUGCACAAUCAUGUCCCGCCAAUAACUGUCGAUGAUCAAAGUACAAAAAAUACUUCUCCCAGACGUGGUCUCAUUAUGUAAUCUUACACCGAUGAACUUUGAUACUAUGUUGUCCAAAUUAAUAAACAUGUACAUACACAAUGGUAUGUGUGAGGCCACUCUUACAAAUGAAAUCCAAAUGGGAAAGCUUAUAAAUAUUGUGAUUAAGAAUUGUUUUUAACGAUAGCGCACUACAACAAUUUAAUUUUUCUUUAUCUCUACUCUGAGAAUCUUCUUUUUUCCGUUUUUGUCAUUUCUCUGUUUAACGUAUUCCCGUGAACGAUAAGAAGAUACAUUUGAUAAGCGAGUAUCUUAGGUUUUUUGCGCAAUGAAGAAGCAAUUUAAAAGACGAACCAGACUUACGAAUAUUUUCAAACCAUGAAAAUAUAUAAGAGACUUGACCACCUUGUUACGUCGAUAUAUAUAUUUCAUUGCAUUAUUUUUCCAUGGACUUUUUCUUUUUUUUUCUUUUUAGAUUACUCGUUUUUAAUGCGUCUCUGCAAAUUCUCUUUAUCAAUCAAGCGUGACUGAAGAGGAUAGAUUAGAUCGUUAAAUCAUUAUAUUAUAAAAAUACACGCGAUAAAUAAAAUAAUCACACAUUUCAUACAAACGGUAGAACAUUUUUAUUAAAUAAUUAUUUAAGCACGUUACACGACAACGUACGAAUACUUAAAUACGAAUGAAUCCUUUUGUUAUUUACUAUAUUUGUGCUGACUACUGUCAUGUAACGCAUUAGGUUUGUAAAGUAAUUGUUUUUUUUAUUUUCAUAAAUAUUAUCUAUAAUAUAAAUAAUUUAUUGAAAAUAACUGUUGUUCGCGAAGUCUCCAGCAUUUGUUCGGUUUCGUUAAUGUAUAUUCAUGGUUAUUCAAUGAUAAAUUGAAUUACUUUAACAUAGUUUAUAGUGUAAUGAUAUGCAAAUACUUGAAAUGGCAUUCGAGUAAGAUAUAUGUAAAUGAACGGUAAAUUAUUUAUUAUCGCUAUUAUUUCCAACUGAUUAUAAAACAAUUGAUUAUCACUGGUGUUUAUUUUUAGAUUAUAUUUGAAAGUUAAAAGCAUCAUCGGACACAGCUAGGACACGACCUCUUAUCACAGUAUCUCAAAAGAACAUUUUACAACUAUACAAAUAUCUUUUAAAAAAUAAUCUAGUGCACCUUUGACACACACACCCAGUAUAUCAGCAGAAGAUUAAUAUUUCCUCGUGUUAUCAUUAGGCGAGCAAUAUAAGUCAAACGUGAAAUGACUCAUUAUUAUUUCUCCAACAUCAGAUUAGUUGUUACUAUCCAAAGUUUUAUUGGAGUCAGUUUCUUAUUACCGAAUGCCUGUUCUUCUGACUGUUAACUGCAACCAUUGGCAUACAAAUAACCAAUCCACUUGAGCUUAGAGAUUGCAUUUCAGUCAACUGAGCUGUUGAACAGAAUGAUAUGUAAUUAGUAAGUAAUUCAAUGGGAAUGCAAUUCCAUAAUUUGUUUCUUCUGAUUCAGUAAGAAAACGGAUCUUACAAGUAACAAAUGUUUUUUUCUUUUUCAGGUUUCUUUCGUCUUUAAUGAUAAUUCAAUGUUA